rnacentral:tRNA from 1 species
GGCCUCAUAGCUCAGCCGGUAGAGUGUACGCUGUAAAAAAACGUAGGCGGCGUCCAUGCGUGGGUUCAAAUCCCACCGAGGCUA